rnacentral:rRNA from 1 species
AUUGAACGCUGGCGGCAGGCCUAACACAUGCAAGUCGAGCGGAGCGGCGGACGGGGGAGUAAUGCCUAGGAAUCGGCAUGGUAGUGUGGAUAAGGUACGGAAACGGGCGCUCAUACCGCAUACUAUCAGAUGAGCCAAGUUCGCCUUAGCUAGUUGGUGGGGUAAAGGCUUACCACGGCGACGAUCCGUAACUGGUCUGAGAGGAUGAUCAGUCACGCUGGAACUGAGACACGGUCCAGACUCCUACGGGAGGCAGCAGUGGGGAAUAUUGGACAAUGGGCGAAAGCCUGAUGCAGCCAUUCCGCGUGUGUGAAGAAGGUCUUCGGGUUGUAAAGCACUUUAAGUUGGGAGGCGUUACUAGCAGAAUAAGCACCGGCUAACUACGUGCCAGCAGCCGCGGUAAUUC